AAGUCGGGGGGCAGCACGGGUAGCAAUAUCUGGUGGCGACCGGCGCACGGGUGCGUAACACGUAUACAAUCUACCCUUAACAGGGGGAUAGCCCUCCGAAAGGAGGAUUAAUACCCCAUAAUAAAUUGAAUGGCAUCAUUUGAUUUUGAAAGUUCCGACGGUUAAGGAUGAGUAUGCGUCUGAUUAGCUAGUUGGUGAGGUAAAGGCUCACCAAGGCAACGAUCAGUAAGGGAUCUGAGAGGACUACCCCCCACACUGGUACUGAGACACGGACCAGACUCC
rnacentral:rRNA from 1 species